GACGAACGCUGGCGGCGUGCCUAAUACAUGCAAGUCGAGCGGACGGAUGGGAGCUUGCUCCCAGACCGUCAGCGGCGGACGGGUGAGUAACACGUGGGCAACCUGCCUGUAAGACUGGGAUAACUCCGGGAAACCGGGGCUAAUACCGGAUAACUCUUUCCCUCACAUGAGGGAAAGCUGAAAGAUGGCAUCUCGCUAUCACUUACAGAUGGGCCCGCGGCGCAUUAGCUAGUUGGUGAGGUAACGGCUCACCAAGGCGACGAUGCGUAGCCGACCUGAGAGCGUGAUCGGCCACACUGGGACUGAGACACGGCCCAGACUCCUACGGGAGGCAGCAGUAGGGAAUCUUCCGCAAUGGACGAAAGUCUGACGGAGCAACGCCGCGUGAGUGAUGAAGGUUUUCGGAUCGUAAAACUCUGUUGUCAGGGAAGAACAAGUACCGGAGUAACUGCCGGUACCUUGACGGUACCUGACCAGAAAGCCACGGCUAACUACGUG
rnacentral:rRNA from 1 species